rnacentral:rRNA from 1 species
AGCAGCCGCGGUAAUUCCAGCUCCAAUAGCGUAUAUUAAAGUUGUUGCAGUUAAAAAGCUCGUAGUUGAAUUUCGGGGUUAGUAGGUUGGUCAUGCCUCUGGUAUGUACUGGUCUCACUGAUUCCUCCUUCCUGAUGAAUCUUAAUGCCAUUAAUUUGGUGUUUUGGGGAAUUUGGACUGUUACUUUGAAAAAAUUAGAGUGUUUAAAGCAAGCUAACGCUUGAAUACAUUAGCAUGGAAUAAUGAAAUAGGACGUUCGAUCCUAUUUUGUUGGUUUCUAGGAUUGACGUAAUGAUUAAUAGGGAUAGUUGGGGGCAUUAGUAUUCAAUUGUCAGAGGUGAAAUUCUUGGAUUUAUUGAAGACUAACUACUGCGAAAGCAUUUGCCAAGGAUGUUUUCAUUAAUCAAGAACGAAAGUUAGGGGAUCGAAGACGAUCAGAUACCGUCGUAGUCUUAACCAUAUACUAUGCCGACUAGGGAUCGGAUGAUGUUAAUUUUUUAAUGACUCA